rnacentral:rRNA from 1 species
AAUAUUGCACAAUGGGCGCAAGCGUGAUCCAGACAUGCCGCUUGGGUGACGAAGGCCUUAGGGUUAUAAACCCCUUUCAGCGGGGAAGAUAAUGACGGUACCCGCAGAAGAAGCCCCGGCUAACUCCGUGCCACCACCGGCGGUAAUAUGGAGGGGGCUAGCGUUUUUCGGAAUUAUUGGGCGUAAACCGCGUGUAGGCGGACCUGCAAGUCGGGGGUGAAAGCCCGAGGCUCAACCUCGGAACUGCCUUCGAUACUGCGGGUCUUGAGUCCGGGAGAGGUGAGUGGAAUUCCUAGUGUAGAGGUGAAAUUCGUAGAUAUUAGGAAGAACACCAGUGGCGAAGGCGGCUCACUGGCCCGGUACUGACGCUGAGGCGCGAAAGCGUGGGGAGCAAACAGGAUUAGAUACCCUGGUAGUCCACGCCGUA